CUUUAAAGAUGACUCAUUUAAGGCAGCCAAGUAUAAAUAUUUGCAUGUAGUCAUACAUUAUACUACUUGUGACUGGAAAAGCUACAAACCCACAGUAUUACACUGUCACUCUGAGGGAAUAACACACUUCCUCUUGUUGAAAAAGUGAGACACAGAGUUAGAGAGGCUUAUCAGGGGAGAUGUGCAUCUCUCAGACUGUCUGCCGCAUGAGCCCCGUUAGGUCUGACCAGGUGCUUUCAGCCUUAGUUUUUUUUGGAAAAUUAGAAUUGCAAAGAUAAAACGGGUAUUUUCCCAAAGUGAUAACAGUCUUCAAACCUGGCAGUCGUCGUAUAAAGAAAAGACGAGACGGCUGGAAGGGAACUCUCCUUGUGCAACCUUAAGGCUGCAGCCUUAAUGCCUUGAGUCACCACACGGCCGCUUGGUUCCGGUUAGUGUCCUCACUGUGGCAGGGAUGUUAGCCAGACGAAGGGGCUUUGCUGGUGACUCACCUGAUUCAAGGCCAUCUGCCCGGGGGAGGAGGGGGGGAGACCACAAAAAGACCACAACACACAACACCCGCAGAUGAAUAGAUAUAUCACCUCGCAGAUCCAGUUACGACGAGUCAACAAUGGACACAAAAGGCUCAAUGUACACGCCGGAUCAAAAAGAGCCUUCAGAUAAUGGGUCCAGAACGCUGCAGGUCUGCCCAGAACCUCUGUGGGCGAGGACAAUGCCGGCAUGGAUCUGGAUACGGUGACGUCUCCUAUUGCUCCCCGUCCCCACUCCCAAGAAGAAAAAUCCCCAUUUGAGACAAAGACGUUUGUCAAGGUCCCGUCACAGGAAAAGGGGGAUUUGAAGAUUUUCAAAAGCAGAGGCUGACAGUUCAGAUGUGGUGGAGCCUUUGCCUGGUGACACAUGGAGAUAAUAACCGUGGCAGUGACUCAAGAGUCAAAUACCAACAUUUUUCACAAAGCCAUGGUGGAAGAAGUCAUACAUUGUCACUUUAAUCACCUUCUAAACCUCGGGUAUGUCGUUUUUUUGUGGAGAAGAAAAGUCUCCACUGCUGUGGAAGACGACCGGCAAGC
ensembl:lncRNA